rnacentral:sRNA from 1 species
AAGUUCUGUAUAAUAUUGAGAUUAAAAGUUAUGUUUUGCUGUGAGUAUUGAAUUACCAUAAGAAUAAAAACUGGGAAACAGAGGUGAAGAUGUUGAGGUGAAAGAUAAGCUAGGAAAGGAAUAUUUACUUGUAGGAGAGUAUGAUGAGAGCGGCUUGAGUGCUAGAGUUGUAAUAAUUUGAAUUUAUCUCUGUGUAUCUUUAUUCUAGCAAUUAUUAUGCUUGAUAUUGUUGGAAAAUAAAAAUAAGGAUCAGAACAACUGUCAUGUUAUUGGAAGCAGUGAUUGGUAGAGGAUUUAUUUAUUUAUAUGAUAUAUUUAGUGAUCAGAAUACAAUUUUAUACAGUUAUAUAUGUAUAAUGUAUUUAUACAGUGGCUAGAAUUUCUCAGCUAACUAAAUGUAUACGUAAGCAAAUUCUGUUCUUUGGAAAGUUGUUAUCUGUAUGAAAAUAAUUUUAUGUUUGUAUAUUAUUUAAUUAUAUAAACAAAUUAAUUUCCCCCUUCUUUCUCAAAAAUGAUUAUCUCCUCUUCUUUUCCUCCUUUCUCCUCUUCUCCUUUUCCUUAUGUUUUUGAAACAAAAACACAAAAUUCCCAAAUCCCCCCGUCCUUUCUUGAAAAUCCAGGUGGUGGAAUGGGUGGCAUGAACAGUGUGACUGGAGGAAUGGGGAUGGGACUGGACCGGAUGAGUUCCAGCUUUGAUAGAAUGGGACCAGGUAUAGGAGCUAUACUGGAAAGGAGCAUCGAUAUGGAUCGAGGAUUUUUAUCGGGUCCAAUGGGAAGCGGCAUGAGAGAGAGAAUAGGCUCCAAAGGCAACCAGAUAUUUGUCAGAAAUGUAAGCAAAUAAAUAUUAAGGAUGAUUGAAAUUCUUUUUUUUCUUGUAUAUAUGUUACUAAUACCUCUUUUCAUUCUAGCUACCUUUUGACUUGACUUGGCAGAAACUAAAAGAGAAAUUCAGUCAGUGUGGUCAUGUAAUGUUUGCAGAAAUAAAAAUGGAGAAUGGAAAGUCAAAAGGCUGUGGAACAGUCAGAUUUGACUCCCCAGAAUCAGCUGAAAAAGCCUGCAGAAUAAUGAAUGGCAUAAAAAUCAGUGGCAGAGAAAUUGAUGUUCGCUUGGAUCGUAAUGCAUAAUUUCAAGCCAUGGUUGGAACAUUCCUACAUCUGUUUUGCUGAAUCUCCUAGUAAAAGUCAUUUUUUUAAAGUAAUAUUGUAUGCUUACAAAAGCUGUAAAAAUGAACUUUUAAAACUCCCACCAGCUUUUAACAGUAUAAUGUUAAAAAUAUACUGUAAUUUUUGUUAAUCUCAAGUUUGGGUUUUUAAAGACAGCAAGUCUGGUCAUUCAGUUUAAAUGAAUGGUUAUACUGUUUUUAAUGAAAUAAGCCAUUUUCUUGUUGUUUUCAGUACUACAUAGUUGGAUUUGUUUCUUCUGGUUUCUCCAGUUUUUGUCAACUUAUUGUAUGGUAAAACAUAGAUUUUUUUCCCCCCCAAACUUCUGUUUUAUAAUAUGUAAUUUUUCAUGAAAAGAAAGGGCUCAGAAAAAUUAGGAUGUGAUUUUGGUUGGUUUUAGAUUACUGUAAGUAAGUUUUAGAUUCUAAGGUUCAGGAUUUUAAAAAUUUGAUUUAAAUGAAGAAAUGGAUUUUUCUCUCUGCCGCUCGCUGCCAUUCAUAUUUUCUGCAUAACACUAUUAAUAAUAUCAACCUCCACAGCCCCUUAUUUUAGUAUUUCCAAUAAUUCCAAGUUCAUAUAGAACUGAUAAUGUAGCAAGCCCCAAGUAUGAUAAUAGGCAGACUAUUCCCAACUUUCUGUCUAGUUUCCAGCCAUUGAAGUGAACUGCUAAAAAAAGAAAAAUAAUUGAAAUGUUGAGAGAGAUGGUUAUGUAAGUUAGUCCUCUGCUGUUUACUUCUAUAGGAGCUGAUCCAUUUAUAAAUGCAGUUUUAAUAAACCAUGGAAUACCAAGGCACAACAUAUCAAACACAUUGGAUCCCACGAUGUUAGACAUAGCCAUAUCUCCUUUCCCUACAAAAGAAAAGCAUACUGUUAAAAUGUGCUUACCAAUACUGUAUUUUAUUAAUAAUCUUCAUAAGAAAAGAAACACUGGAUACUUUUGUGUUGUUGAUUCGUUUUGGAAAAUUGUUGUUAGAGCAAAAGUCUUACUGAAUUUGUAUUUUUAAAUUUUUCUUGGGUUAGUAUUUAAAGUCUUAACAUUUAUUUAAUAAUUAUAUUUAUUAAACCAUUUUUCAAUAAGGUAUAUAGCUUACUUGUUGCUUUUCAUUGUAAUUUAACAUGGUUAAUGGUUAAUUACUAUUUAAUGCACAUUUCAAAUGAAUAUUAUUUGGGGGAUUAGAUUGAGUGAAAUUAACCUGCUAUUAAAUAGUAAACUUUUCUCUCUGGAGUCACUUUUUUUCCCCCCUUCAAAGUAUGUUACUGAGGAAGUAAACUUUUUUUUUUUUUUUUUUGAGACACAGUCUCGCUCUGUCGCCCAGGCUGCUGGAGUGCCGUGGCGCAAUCUCGGCUCACUGCAACCUCAGCCUCCUGGAGUCAAACAAUUCUCAUGCCUCAGCCUCCUGAGUAGCUGGGAUUACAGGCGCAUGCCACCACGCCCAGCUAAUUUUUGUAUUUUUAGUAGAGACCGGGUUUCACCAUGUUGGUCAGGCUGGUCUCAAACUCCUGACCUCGUGAUCCACCCGCCUUGGCCUCCCAAAAUGCUGGGAUUACAGGCGCGAGCCACCACACCCGGCCGGAAGUAAACAUUUUUAAAGCUACUUUUUACUCAUUCUAGCCUUGUAGAAUGACCAUUGCAGCUUGAGGGACCUAGUUCUUACCUUUUCUUGCAACCAAUACACUUGCAAUUGUGUCUGGUAUGCUUGUUCCUGCUGCUAAUAAAGUAAGGCCCAUUACUGUAUCUGGAAUUUCUAGUGUUUCCCCUGUAAUAAACAGAUAUUUCAAGUUACAAAUCUUAAAGAUUCACUAACCAUCCUUUGCAGUUAUUUUGGGUAUUUCCUUCCUGAAGAAAAAUAAAAUAGGCACCUUUAGAAUUCAGAGCCAAUAUGUGCUUGCUUAGUUUUUUAGCUAGCAACAUAUUUGAAUCAGGCUGGUAAUUCGGGUAACCCAGGUAGCACAGAUUUUUAAUGACAUAUCUAAAGAUAUGUAACAGCCAAGAUUCUGCCAAUGAGAAAUUUUCCUGUUUGAUAUUCUUACAAAAGAUGUUUAUGUUCACCAUUAUCUCAUCAGGGCUGUGCUGAAUAUUUGCUAAAGAGACUGAUCAUUCCGCUUUUUCUUUCUUAAAAAUUUUUAUUAGAGUUAAGCAAAUUAAUUAUAGCUAUCUUUAAGCUAUAAAUGUGUUAGCAUGUAUAUAUACCAUUUAUUACGUUCUACUUUAGUGACAUACCUUAAUUUAGUGGGCUUUGGCAGGGUGGGGGAGGGGGAACAUUCAUUAAUCUGUGAGGAAAACAAAACCUGUUUUCUACUUGAGUCUAACAUAUGGUCCCAAUUUAUUAAUACUUCUGUUAAAUUUGAUGUCAGGUCAACAUUUUUCAGAAAUGUAUUUAUUCUCAGAAACAACCAGAGAGAAGUUAAAAAAAGGAUAUGUAACUGUUCUUUUAAUGUUGUAAUUGAAAACUUGGUUUAGCGUCUUUUUUUUCUUUCUGUUUUUUUUCUUAAAAUGCCAAUUAAAAUAACUUAAUUAGAAAGUAGCUUAUUUAUUGCAUGCUUAUAUAUUGAUACUAGAAUUGGAAUUGGUUGUUAAUUUCUGUUACUGGCUUUGCUAGAAUUCAUAUGUGCAUAAAUAACACUAAUAUUUAUCAUCUUGGGGGCUGUUUUGUGAUCUAUUACAUGAUUUUUGCUCUCUUUUUAUUUUCCUAAUAUCAAAUGUGUUCUGGCUGAGUGAAUUUGGAUAGAUAUAAUAUGCAAGCUAAUUGGACUUUUUCAUUUUUCUCAUUAAAAAAAGGAAGAAAUAGUCCACUUUUUGCUAGCAUACUAUUCUAAGACUUACAUUAAUUUGGGAAGAGUCAAGGGUCAACAGAUUUUUGUGUCUGUGAGGGGCCAGAUAGUAAUUAUUUAGGCUUUGCAGGCUGUGUGAUUUCUGUUGCAGUUAUUCAGCUUUGCCAAUGUACUGUGAAAACAAUCAUAGAUAAUAUGUAAAACCUUACUAAUAAAAACAAGCUGGGUUAUUUUGGCACACAGGCAUUAGUUUGUUCACCUCUGCUGUAAGUUAAUUUGGGUUAACCUUUGUAGGAGAAAUUACAGAUUAUUUUUGUCUUUGUUUAUAGUUUUUUGUUUAGGGACUGUAGUGGAUUAUGGCCAAACAGCAGUAGUUAGGUAAGUCUUAAUCGUGAAGGUAGUAGAAACCUAGAAUAAAACUUUCAUACCCUUUUCACUCAUUUCAUAGUAUGUUUGUAUUGCCAUGUUGAAAAGCCAAAUAAAAUAUAAUCCAGUUAAGCAGUGAGCACCCAUUGUUUUCCCAAAAAUAGAACUCCUUGCUUUGUUUUUGUUGUUUUUUUUUUUCAUUAUGGAAUGGAAUUCAAUAUAAAGAGUUUAUUGUGGACCCCAUGGAAUGUGAUUAAAUUUUUAGCAUAAUAAAAAGACAUCCUAUGAA